rnacentral:lncRNA from 1 species
UCUCUUUCCACUCUCCUGUCUGUCUCUCUUAUUCUCUCUCCUGUCUUUCUCUCUCUCCACUCUCCUGUCUGUCUCUCUCUCCACUCUCCUGUUUGGCUCUCUCUCCACUCUCCUGUCUUUCUCUUUCUUUGUCCUCUCUUCUCUCCCCUGGCACUUGUCUAUCUUGUUCAUUCUUCACCAGCUGCAGCAGAAGAAGAUAUUUACUCCAACAGAACUUCCCUUCUGCUCAGAAGCUUGGACCUGUUCAGAGAGAGAGGGGCCCCACCAGAGUGUGUGUGUGUGUGUGUUCCUGGAAGCUGCAGGUAUAUGUUACUGGAAGACUGAGAAGCACCUGAUGACAAUUCUUGGAAUUGUGGACACUUGCUGCGUACACACAUGUGUGGACACACAUUCACUGCUGACAGGUCUGUGGCUGCCAGAGUAAAGAAAAGAUGGUCUGGGUUGGAAGGGACAUGCUGUUACAGCAUCAGGACCAGGAGGAGUCUAGAAGACGUGGUGGAGGAACUAGUGGAUUUAAACACACCUUCCUGGGAGAAAGGAGAUGGGGCUGACAAGACGACUGUCUCAAAGUGAAUCAUGGAGUGCUUGCGACCAUAAGCUCUUGGUUGCCAUCAGCUGGCGAGACAGGGAGAGUACUGCCUGCCUGUCAG